UACGUAGGGUGCAAGCGUUGUCCGGAAUUACUGGGCGUAAAGAGCUCGUAGGUGGUUUGUCGCGUUGUUCGUGAAAACUCACAGCUCAACUGUGGGCGUGCGGGCGAUACGGGCAGACUGGAGUACUGCAGGGGAGACUGGAAUUCCUGGUGUAGCGGUGGAAUGCGCAGAUAUCAGGAGGAACACCGGUGGCGAAGGCGGGUCUCUGGGCAGUAACUGACGCUGGAGGAGCGAAAGCGUGGGGAGCGAACAGG
rnacentral:rRNA from 1 species